rnacentral:rRNA from 1 species
UAACACGUAGGGGGCGAGCGUUGUCCGGAUUUAUUGGGCGUAAAGAGCUCGUAGGCGGCUCGGUAAGUCGGGUGUGAAAACUCGGGGCUCAACCCCGAGACGCCACUCGAUACUGCCAUGGCUAGAGUCCGGUAGGGGAGCGUGGAAUUCCUGGUGUAGCGGUGAAAUGCGCAGAUAUCAGGAGGAACACCGGUGGCGAAGGCGGCGCUCUGGGCCGGAACUGACGCUGAGGAGCGAAAGCGUGGGGAGCAAACAGGAUUAGAUACCCUGGUAGUCCACGCCGUAAACGUUGGGCACUAGGUGUGGGGUCCUAUCGACGGAUCCCGUGCCGUAGCUAACGCAUUAAGUGCCCCGCCUGGGGAGUACGGCCGCAAGGCUA